rnacentral:rRNA from 1 species
ACGGCUACCUUGUUACGACUUCACCCCAGUUACCGGCUCCACCUUCGGCAGCUCCCUCCUUACGGUUGGGUCACUGACUUCGGGCAUUUCCGACUCCCAUGGUGUGACGGGCGGUGUGUACAAGACCCGGGAACGUAUUCACCGCGGCAUUCUGAUCCGCGAUUACUAGCGAUUCCAGCUUCAUGUAGUCGGGUUGCAGACUACAAUCCGAACUGGGACGUUAUUUUUGGGAUUUGCUUGGCGUCACCGCUUUGCUUCCCUUUGUUUACGCCAUUGUAGCACGUGUGUAGCCCUGAUCAUAAGGGGCAUGAUGAUUUGACGUCAUCCCCGCCUUCCUCCCGGUUAUCCCGGGCAGUCUCUCCAGAGUGCCCAUCUUAAAUGCUGGCUACUGGAAAUAGGGGUUGCGCUCGUUGCGGGACUUAACCCAACAUCUCACGACACGAGCUGACGACAACCAUGCACCACCUGUCUCC